UGGCGGCGUGCCUAACACAUGCAAGUCGAGCGGGGACGUUGCGACUGAGUUGAAGACUUCGGUCGGAGAUGAAGAUGUAAAGUUCUAGCGGCGGACGGGUGAGUAACGCGUGAGCAACCUGUCCCUUACAGGGGGAUAACACAGCGAAAGUUGUACUAAUACCGCAUGAGACCACAGAGUGACAUCAUUCAGGGGUCAAAGGAGCAAUCCGGUAAGGGGUGGGCUCGCGUCCGAUUAGAUAGUUGGUGAGGUAACGGCCCACCAAGUCGACGAUCGGUAGCCGACCUGAGAGGGUGAUCGGCCACAUUGGGACUGAGACACGGCCCAAACUCCUACGGGAGGCAGCAGUGGGGAAUAUUGGGCAAUGGGGGGAAACCCUGACCCAGCAACGCCGCGUGAGGGAAGAAGGUUUUCGGAUCGUAAACCUCUGUCCUUGGUGAAGAGGAAGAGACGGUAGCCAAGGAGGAAGCCCCGGCUAACUACGUGCCAGCCGCCGC
rnacentral:rRNA from 1 species